GUGGGGAAUCUUAAACAAUGGGCGCAAGCCUGAUCUAGCCAUGCCGCGUGAGCGAUGAAGGCCUUAGGGUUGUAAAGCUCUUUCGUGGGGGAAGAUAAUGACUGUACCCCAAGAAGAAGCCCCGGCUAACUCCGUGCCAGCAGCCGCGGUAAUACGGAGGGGGCUAGCGUUGUUCGGAAUUACUGGGCGUAAAGCGCACGUAGGCGGACUGGAAAGUCAGGGGUGAAAUCCCGGGGCUCAACCCCGGAACUGCCUUUGAAACUCCCAGUCUUGAGUUCGAGAGAGGUGAGUGGAAUUCCGAGUGUAGAGGUGAAAUUCGUAGAUAUUCGGAGGAACACCAGUGGCGAAGGCGGCUCACUGGCUCGAUACUGACGCUGAGGUGCGAAAGCGUGGGGAGCAAACAGGAUUAGAUACCCCGGUAGUCC
rnacentral:rRNA from 1 species